UACGUAGGUGGCAAGCGUUAUCCGGAUUUACUGGGUGUAAAGGGCGUGUAGGCGGGACUGCAAGUCAGAUGUGAAAUUCCAGGGCUCAACCCUGGACCUGCAUUUGAAACUGUAGUUCUUGAGUGAUGGAGAGGCAGGCGGAAUUCCGAGUGUAGCGGUGAAAUGCGUAGAUAUUCGGAGGAACACCAGUGGCGAAGGCGGCCUGCUGGACAUUAACUGACGCUGAGGCGCGAAAGCGUGGGGAGCAAACAGG
rnacentral:rRNA from 1 species